rnacentral:lncRNA from 1 species
AUUAGAAUUUAUGCUUCAUAGGAAGUUUUUGGUAAGUCUUCUUUAAGCUAUUAGGUACAUGACUUGCUAUAUCUAUAGCCUUUCAACUUGAAACAAAUGGAUAGACAGAGCAUGCAAAUCAGAUCUUAAAAGAUAUAUUGUAGAUAUUUGUGGUGGUUCAUCACAAUGAUUGAGAUGAAUACUUGACACCCCUAGAAUUUGCUUAUAAUGAUAGUAUUCAAGCAAGUACCAAUUAUUUAUCAUUUUUUCUUAAUAUCAAUUAAUAUCCAAUUAUGCCAACAAUUCUCUAUUUUUCAAUUGAUACUAACAAUCUGACAAUAGGAGAAUUUAUACAACAGCUUAUAAUGGCCUUACAAGGAGUAUUA